AGUGAACGCUGGCGGUAUGCCUAACACAUGCAAGUCGAACGGCAGCACAGUAAGAGCUUGCUCUUACUGGUGGCGAGUGGCGGACGGGUGAGGAAUACAUCGGAAUCUACUUUUUCGUGGGGGAUAACGUAGGGAAACUUACGCUAAUACCGCAUACGACCUACGGGUGAAAGCAGGGGAUCUUCGGACCUUGCGCGAUUGAAUGAGCCGAUGUCGGAUUAGCUAGUUGGCGGGGUAAAGGCCCACCAAGGCGACGAUCCGUAGCUGGUCUGAGAGGAUGAUCAGCCACACUGGAACUGAGACACGGUCCAGACUCCUACGGGAGGCAGCAGUGGGGAAUAUUGGACAAUGGGCGCAAGCCUGAUCCAGCAAUACCGCGUGGGUGAAGAAGGCCUUCGGGUUGUAAAGCCCUUUUGUUGGGAAAGAAAAGCAGCAGGUUAAUACCCCGCUGUUCUGACGGUACCCAAAGAAUAAGCACCGGCUAACUUCGUG
rnacentral:rRNA from 1 species